CUUAUACUCCCUCCGUUCUGAAUUACUCAUCGCAGAAAUGGAUGUAUCUAGAUGUAUUUUAGUUCUAGAUACAUCCACUUCUACGAUGAGUAAUUUGGAACGGAGGGAGUAUCUU
rfam:Triticum aestivum genome assembly, contig: Triticum_aestivum_CS42_TGACv1_scaffold_193718_3AL